rnacentral:rRNA from 1 species
AUUGAACGCUGGCGGCAGGCUUAACACAUGCAAGUCGAGCGGAAACGAUGGGAGCUUGCUCCCAGGCGUCGAGCGGCGGACGGGUGAGUAACGCGUAGGAAUCUACCCAGUAGCGGGGGAUAGCCCGAGGAAACUCGGAUUAAUACCGUAUACGCCCUGAGGGGGAAAGGGGGCAGGUUUACUGCUCUCACUAUUGGAUGAGCCUGCGUAAGAUUAGCUUGUUGGUGGGGUAACGGCCUACCAAGGCGACGAUCAGUAGCUGGUCUGAGAGGAUGAUCAGCCACACUGGGACUGAGACACGGCCCAGACUCCUACGGGAGGCAGCAGUGGGGAAUAUUGGACAAUGGGGGCAACCCUGAUCCAGCAAUGCCGCGUGUGUGAUGAAGGCCUUAGGGUUGUAAAGCACUUUCACUGGUGAAGAUGAUGACGGUAACCAGAGAAGAAGCCCCGGCUAACUUCGUG